rnacentral:rRNA from 1 species
UACGGGGGGGGCAAGCGUUGUUCGGAAUUACUGGGCGUAAAGGGCUCGUAGGCGGCCAACUAAGUCAGACGUGAAAUCCCUCGGCUUAACCGGGGAACUGCGUCUGAUACUGGAUGGCUUGAGAUUGGGAGAGGGAUGCGGAAUUCCAGGUGUAGCGGUGAAAUGCGUAGAGAUCGGGAGGAACAUCAGUGGCGAAGGCGGCCAUCUGGGACAACACUGACGCUGAGGCGCGAAGGCGUGGGGAGCGAACGGG